UACGUAGGUGGCAAGCGUUGUCCGGAUUUAUUGGGUUUAAAGGGUGCGUAGGCGGUCUAUUAAGUCAGUGCUGAAAUAUCCCGGCUUAACCGGGGGCCGGCCGUGGAAACUGUCGGGCUGGAGGCUGGGAGAGGGCAGCGGAAUUCCCGGUGUAGCGGUGAAAUGCGUAGAGAUCGGGAGGAACACCGGCGGCGAAGGCGGCUGCCUGGACCAGUCCUGACGCUGAGGCGCGAAAGCUAGGGGAGCAAACAGG
rnacentral:rRNA from 1 species